ACAAGUGUCCCUUAUGGGCCAUUAGCAUGCUUAUGAAUAGUAUUUUCUCGUCUUUUUGUGAAAAAGUAACUUUAUUAUGUAUGCUUUAGAGAUAAGGGUGUCGGACUUUUGGAAAAAGGCAUUUCUAUAAUGCCAUGCUUGUAAUAGUAUUACUUUUGUCUUUUAUGCUCCUCCUUGCCUAUAAAAGGAGGGCUCUUGUAAACUAUUUUCACCAAGCAAUCAUAAAUAAAAACUCUUUGUGUGUUCAAGAACAACUAUGUUCUAA
rnacentral:lncRNA from 1 species